rnacentral:rRNA from 1 species
AACGAACGCUGGCGGCAUGCCUAACACAUGCAAGUCGAACGAGACCUUCGGGUCUAGUGGCGCACGGGUGCGUAACGCGUGGGAACCUGCCCUUAGGUUCGGAAUAACUCCCCGAAAGGGGUGCUAAUACCGGAUAAUGUCUUCGGACCAAAGAUUUAUCGCCUUUGGAUGGGCCCGCGUUGGAUUAGCUAGUUGGUAGGGUAAAAGCCUACCAAGGAGACGAUCCAUAGCUGGGCUGAGAGGAUGAUCAGCCACACUGGGACUGAGACACGGCCCAGACUCCUACGGGAGGCAGCAGUGGGGAAUAUUGGACAAUGGGCGAAAGCCUGAUCCAGCAAUGCCGCGUGAGUGAUGAAGGCCUUAGGGUUGUAAAGCUCUUUUACCCGGGAUGAUAAUGACAGUACCGGGAGAAUAAGCUCCGGCUAACUCCGUG